rfam:Brachypodium distachyon strain Bd21 chromosome 2, whole genome shotgun sequence.
AAUAUACCCCCUCUGUCGAAUAAAAGAUGUCUUAAGUUUGUCGAAAUUUGAAUGUAUCUAGACACGACUUAAUGUAUAGAUGCAUUCAAAUCUAGUCAAAAUUAAGACAUACUUUGGACAGAGAAAGUACAGC